rnacentral:rRNA from 1 species
GAUGAACGCUGGCGGCGUGCCUAAUACAUGCAAGUCGAGCGAACGGACGAGAAGCUUGCUUCUCUGAUGUUAGCGGCGGACGGGUGAGUAACACGUGGAUAACCUACCUAUAAGACUGGGAUAACUUCGGGAAACCGGAGCUAAUACCGGAUAAUAUUUUGAACCGCAUGGUUCAAAAGUGAAAGACGGUCUUGCUGUCACUUAUAGAUGGAUCUGCGCUGCAUUAGCUAGUUGGUAAGGUAACGGCUUACCAAGGCAACGAUGCAUAGCCGACCUGAGAGGGUGAUCGGCCACACUGGAACUGAGACACGGUCCAGACUCCUACGGGAGGCAGCAGUAGGGAAUUUUCCGCAAUGGGCGAAAGCCUGACGGAGCAACGCCGCGUGAGUGAUGAAGGUCUUCGGAUCGUAAAACUCUGUUAUUAGGGAAGAACAUAUGUGUAAGUAACUGUGCACAUCUUGACGGUACCUAAUCAGAAAGCCACGGCUAACUACGUG